UUGAGGUUCAGCAGGCAGAUUCAUUUUCUGCCACCGAAUACAUUAGCAUGGGAUAAUGGAAUAGGACCCUGUCCUCCUAUUUUCAGUUGGUUUUGGCAGCGCGAGGACUAGGGUAAUGAUUAAUAGGGAUAGUUGGGGGCAUUAAUAUUUAAUUGUCAGAGGUGAAAUUCUUGGAUUUAUGAAAGAUUAACUUCUGCGAAAGCAUCUGCCAAGGAUGUUUUCAUUAAUCAAGAACGAAAGUUAGGGGAUCGAAGACGAUCAGAUACCGUCGUAGUCUUAACCAUAAACGAUGCCGACCAGCGAUUAGGAGACGUUGAAUACAAAACACCACCAUCGGCGCGGUCGUCCUUGGCGCGUUCGUGUUCACGCACGGGCGCGCGAGGGCGGUUUAGCCCGGUGGCACCGGUGAAUGACUCCCCUAGCAGCUUGUGAGAA
rnacentral:rRNA from 2 species